rnacentral:rRNA from 1 species
CUUACUGCUUGGGAACUGAUAGUCUAGAGUGAGGGAGAGGCAGAUGGAAUUGGUGGUGUAGGGGUAAAAUCCGUAGAUAUCACCAAGAAUACCCAUUGCGAAGGCGAUCUGCUGGAACUUAACUGACGCUAAGGCGCGAAAGCGUGGGGAGCAAACAGGAUUAGAUACCCUGGUAGUCCACGCCCUAAACGAUGUACACUAGUUGUUGGGGUGCUAGUCAUCUCAGUAAUGCAGCUAACGCAUUAAGUGUACCGCCUGGGGAGUACGGUCGCAAGAUUAAAACUCAAAGGAAUAGACGGGGACCCGCACAAGCGGUGGAGCAUGUGGUUUAAUUCGAAGAUACGCGAAGAACCUUACCUGGGCUUGAUAUCCUAAGAACCUUUUAGAGAUAAGAGGGUGCUAGCUUGCUAGAACUUAGAGACAGGUGCUGCACGGCUGUCGUCAGCUCGUGUCGUGAGAUGUUGGGUUAAGUCCCGCAACGAGCGCAACCCACGUAUUUAGUUGCUAACGGUUCGGCCGAGCACUCUAAAUAGACUGCCUUCGUAAGGAGGAGGAAGGUGUGGACGACGUCAAGUCAUCAUGGCCCUUAUGCCCAGGGCGACACACGUGCUACAAUGGCAUAUACAAUGAGACGCAAUACCGCGAGGUGGAGCAAAUCUAUAAAAUAUGUCCCAGUUCGGAUUGUUCUCUGCAACUCGAGAGCAUGAAGCCGGAAUCGCUAGUAAUCGUAGAUCAGCCAUGCUACGGUGAAUACGUUCCCGGGUCUUGUACUCACCGCCCGUCACACCAUGGGAGUUGAUUUCACUCGAAGCCGGAAUACUAACA